GAAAGAAGCCAGCGGCAGACCUAAGGGCCCUAGACCUAGCAGAAUCGUCCCUCAUUCCACUUCCCCUCUAAGAGAUCAAACACCUUUCAGCACCUAGAAAAACCAUAGGAGCCACACGCCCUCCUCUAAAAAAUCUCCAAGCCGCCGGAAGAACACACCCCCAUCGGCCGCUCUUCUUCUUCACCUCACACCACCAGACAUCCCUUUUGCUUGACAUCUUCAAAAUUAGCCAUACCCCAACCUCUCAAGGACCACACACGGCCAAAAAUUAAGAAAAAAGAAGAGAGGAUAAAGAGCAAAAAUAGAGGGAGUUUUAGAGCAAAAAAAAAUCUUGUUUGGUAUAGUCAUUUCUAAGAAGAAAUCGAAAUGGAGUAGCCGAGGUAUUUGGGUUCGAUUCGAAAUUUUCCGGCGCUUGGUUGUCGGCAAGGUCUCCGUUCAUGGACCCUGUUCUCAGUUUAAAAUUCAAGAGAACAUUGAUUUAUUGAGGUUUCAAAUUUUUCUUACUCUGGUUCGGGGCUUGCUUGCUACUGUUAAUUGCUGAUUGUCAUUGGGCUAUGAUUGAGCUCCAUUUGUGCUUACCCGACCUUUGUUAGGUUCAAUCGAUUUGUUGCUUUUAAAUUUAGGUCGUUAAAAAUGGUGAUAAUCUUGAGUUUUUCUGUUGGGAUUGCUUCUGCAAGCUUUUCACUUGGCAAUUUCUUGGUUUGUCCACAAUGUGGUUGUGGGCUGGACUGCAAUAGUAAUGUGAAAACUCAAAAGAUUCGAAGAAAUCAUCUUGUCUCUUCGGUUUAGCUGCAUAUCAAAAGAUGGUUGAGUUUGCUGAAAGAGGUUAGUUCCUGGCUUUCAAUAUAUGGUCCUUGCAUGUUUUAGUUCCUUUAUCUUGUGAUGGUUAUUUGCUCGUUUGUUCUUAAUUUUUCGUUGGUUGGUCAUUAUAUGAGGGAAAAGUCAACGAUGAACACAAAUUAUUUUUCUUAGAUGCUUAGUAUCAAUUUGUGGUGGAGCACUCGAAAUUUCAUGAAAAUUGGUAUGUUUUUAGGUUAUUAGAUGAGUGACAUUGUUAUGAUUGAAGGAUUUUCUUUUUAGCUUUUGAUAUUCAAUUAACUAGCUAAAACUAUCUUCUGUUAGUUGAA